UUCACGAAUGAGAAAAUUUGA
rnacentral:piRNA from 1 species